rnacentral:rRNA from 1 species
AUACGGAGGAUGCGAGCGUUAUCCGGAUUUAUUGGGUUUAAAGGGUGCGUAGGCUGUGCGUUAAGUCAGGGGUGAAAUGCCGUCGCUCAACGACGGAGCUGCCCUUGAUACUGGCGUGCUGGAGCACGGAUGCCGUUGGCGGAAUGAGUGGUGUAGCGGUGAAAUGCUUAGAUAUCACUCAGAACACCGAUUGCGAAGGCAUCUGACGAAUCCGUGGCUGACGCUGAGGCACGAAAGCGUGGGGAUAGAACAGGAUUAGAUACCCUGGUAUUCCACGCCGUAAACGAUGAUGACUAACCGUCGGCGAUAGACAGCCGGUGGCCAAGCGAAAGCGAUAAGUCAUCCACCUGGGGAGUACGUCGGCAACGAUGAAACUCAAAGGAAUUGACGGGG